GGGAAAGUGGCUCAAUGGUAGAGCGCUUGCCUCACAUGCAUGAGGUCCUGGAUUCCAUUCCUC
rfam:Dipodomys ordii contig_18990, whole genome shotgun sequence.